UUUGGUUAAGUUAGAAAGGGCGCACGGUGGAUGCCUUGACACUAGGAGUCGAUGAAGGACGGGACUAACGCCGAUAUGCUUCGGGGAGCUGUAAGUAAGCUUUGAUCCGAAGAUUUCCGAAUGGGGAAACCCACCAUACGUAAUGGUAUGGUAUCCUUAUCUGAAUACAUAGGGUAAGGAAGACAGACCCAGGGAACUGAAACAUCUAAGUACCUGGAGGAAGAGAAAGCAAAUGCGAUUUCCUGAGUAGCGGCGAGCGAAACGGAACAUAGCCCAAACCAAGAGGCUUGCCUCUUGGGGUUGUAGGACAUUCUAUACGGAGUUACAAAGGAACGAGGUAGACGAAGCGACCUGGAAAGGUCCGUCGUAGAGGGUAACAACCCCGUAGUCGAAACUUCGUUCUCUCUUGAAUGUAUCCUGAGUACGGCGGAACACGUGAAAUUCCGUCGGAAUCUGGGAGGACCAUCUCCCAAGGCUAAAUACUCCCUAGUGAUCGAUAGUGAACCAGUACCGUGAGGAAAAGGUGAAAAGCACCCCGGAAGGGGAGUGAAAGAGAUCCUGAAACCGUGUGCCUACAAAUAGUCAGAGCCCGUUAACGGGUGAUGGCGUGCCUUUUGUAGAAUGAACCGGCGAGUUACGAUCCCGUGCGAGGUUAAGCUGAAGAGGCGGAGCCGCAGCGAAAGCGAGUCUGAAUAGGGCGUUUAGUACGUGGUCGUAGACCCGAAACCAGGUGAUCUACCCAUGUCCAGGGUGAAGUUCAGGUAACACUGAAUGGAGGCCCGAACCCACGCACGUUGAAAAGUGCGGGGAUGAGGUGUGGGUAGCGGAGAAAUUCCAAUCGAACCUGGAGAUAGCUGGUUCUCCCCGAAAUAGCUUUAGGGCUAGCCUUAAGUGUAAGAGUCUUGGAGGUAGAGCACUGAUUGGACUAGGGGUCCUCAUCGGAUUACCGAAUUCAGUCAAACUCCGAAUGCCAAUGACUUAUCCUUAGGAGUCAGACUGCGAGUGAUAAGAUCCGUAGUCAAAAGGGAAACAGCCCAGACCGCCAGCUAAGGUCCCAAAGUGUGUAUUAAGUGGAAAAGGAUGUGGAGUUGCUUAGACAACUAGGAUGUUGGCUUAGAAGCAGCCACCAUUUAAAGAGUGCGUAAUAGCUCACUAGUCGAGUGACUCUGCGCCGAAAAUGUACCGGGGCUAAAUACACCACCGAAGCUGCGGAUUGAUACCAAUGGUAUCAGUGGUAGGGGAGCGUUCUAAGGACAGUGAAGUCAGACCGGAAGGACUGGUGGAGUGCUUAGAAGUGAGAAUGCCGGUAUGAGUAGCGAAAGACGGGUGAGAAUCCCGUCCACCGAAUGCCUAAGGUUUCCUGAGGAAGGCUCGUCCGCUCAGGGUUAGUCAGGACCUAAGCCGAGGCCGACAGGCGUAGGCGAUGGACAACAGGUUGAUAUUCCUGUACCACCUCUUUAUCGUUUGAGCAAUGGAGGGACGCAGAAGGAUAGAAGAAGCGUGCGAUUGGUUGUGCACGUCCAAGCAGUUAGGCUGAUAAGUAGGCAAAUCCGCUUAUCGUAAAGGCUGAGCUGUGAUGGGGAAGCUCCUUAUGGAGCGAAGUCUUUGAUUCCCCGCUGCCAAGAAAAGCUUCUAGCGAGAUAAAAGGUGCCUGUACCGCAAACCGACACAGGUAGGCGAGGAGAGAAUCCUAAGGUGUGCGAGAGAACUCUGGUUAAGGAACUCGGCAAAAUGACCCCGUAACUUCGGGAGAAGGGGUGCUUUCUUAACGGAAAGCCGCAGUGAAUAGGCCCAAGCGACUGUUUAGCAAAAACACAGCUCUCUGCGAAGCCGUAAGGCGAAGUAUAGGGGGUGACACCUGCCCGGUGCUGGAAGGUUAAGGAGAGGGGUUAGCGUAAGCGAAGCUCUGAACUGAAGCCCCAGUAAACGGCGGCCGUAACUAUAACGGUCCUAAGGUAGCGAAAUUCCUUGUCGGGUAAGUUCCGACCCGCACGAAAGGUGUAACGAUUUGGGCACUGUCUCAACCAGAGACUCGGUGAAAUUAUAGUACCUGUGAAGAUGCAGGUUACCCGCGACAGGACGGAAAGACCCCGUGGAGCUUUACUGUAGCCUGAUAUUGAAUUUUGGUACAGUUUGUACAGGAUAGGCGGGAGCCAUUGAAACCGGAGCGCUAGCUUCGGUGGAGGCGCUGGUGGGAUACCGCCCUGACUGUAUUGAAAUUCUAACCUACGGGUCUUAUCGACCCGGGAGACAGUGUCAGGUGGGCAGUUUGACUGGGGCGGUCGCCUCCUAAAGUGUAACGGAGGCGCCCAAAGGUUCCCUCAGAAUGGUUGGAAAUCAUUCGUAGAGUGCAAAGGCAUAAGGGAGCUUGACUGCGAGACCUACAAGUCGAGCAGGGACGAAAGUCGGGCUUAGUGAUCCGGUGGUUCCGCAUGGAAGGGCCAUCGCUCAACGGAUAAAAGCUACCCCGGGGAUAACAGGCUUAUCUCCCCCAAGAGUCCACAUCGACGGGGAGGUUUGGCACCUCGAUGUCGGCUCAUCGCAUCCUGGGGCUGUAGUCGGUCCCAAGGGUUGGGCUGUUCGCCCAUUAAAGCGGUACGCGAGCUGGGUUCAGAACGUCGUGAGACAGUUCGGUCCCUAUCCGUCGUGGGCGUAGGAAAUUUGAGAGGAGCUGUCCUUAGUACGAGAGGACCGGGAUGGACGCACCGCUGGUGUACCAGUUGUUCUGCCAAGGGCAUAGCUGGGUAGCUAUGUGCGGAAGGGAUAAGUGCUGAAAGCAUCUAAGCAUGAAGCCCCCCUCAAGAUGAGAUUUCCCAUAGCGUAAGCUAGUAAGAUCCCUGAAAGAUGAUCAGGUUGAUAGGUUCGAGGUGGAAGCAUGGUGACAUGUGGAGCUGACGAAUACUAAUAGAUCGAGGACUUAACCAUA
rnacentral:rRNA from 1 species